rnacentral:lncRNA from 1 species
GUGAUGUUGCCGCAGCUCAGGCAGAGGCCGCAGCAGGAGCUCAACCAGUCCGCAGGAACUAUGGCGACGCUCUUUCAACAGCAAAGCCUCAAGAAGUGCCAGAUCCCUUCUGCUCCUUGGCUCACGUCUCCGUUUCCUAUAACCUACAACCAGGGCAAUUCUUCACAUUCUACCCAAAGCCACACUGGAAGGCUUUGAUGUUGGCAGCAGAGGUGACAGCAGCCUCCCUCUCCCCUGCUCCUGGAGGGAGAUCAUGGCUAAGACACAUGAGCAGCUGAGGCAGAGGGCAACAUCAGGAUUGAUCUGUGGAGCAACCAAGAAGUGACCAACGUGCUGAAAAGAGGCAUCACUCAGGGGCUACAGAACCAGCGGGUUGUUGAACAAAAAGGAGCUGUGGACCAGAGGCUGAAAUCUCUGAAACCGUGAGGCAAAACAAAUCUUUCCUCACUUCAAGUUAUCUUUUUUAGAUAUUCAUCAUAGCGGUGAAAAAAAAAUCUAACUAAUCCAGAAGAGCUUUGAAAGAUUCUCCAGAGUAACAACAGCCUAAGAUCCCUUGAAAGAGUGAGCAAAUGUUCACAUGCAAUGGGCCUGCAGGCAAAAAUGCUUAGCUGCUUUUGAUGACAGUAAUCAAGGACAUAGCCCCGCUGAAUGAAGCUCAAACAGGGUAGGCAAUAAGCAUAUGCUGAACGGAUGACAAAAGGACAAAUGAAUAGACAACGAGCAAGUGAAGGAAUGAGUAAAUGAAUGAUGGAGUCGGGACCUAUGAACUGAAAAGACUGGAUUCUGCAAAAACGCAGAGCAGAAGAGCAUCUCCACUGCGGAAUCUGGGCACACAAUACAAGAGGGAGUACAGAUUCCCCAGCCUGUUGGAAUGGAGGGGUGCUUUGCCCAGUGGAGCCCAAUGUAGCUCCUACCGAAUGUUGGCAUUUGUCAGAGGAGGCUGGCUCAUCCUAAAAGACGGAGUUUUAGAACAUUUGCAGAGGAAAUGGGCAGCCUGGGACUGGUCAAACAGGCCAUAACAUCUGGCUUCCAGCCUUAAGACUAAAUGUACCUCUGGGUUCAUCAGAACCUUGGAGCAGAAAACUCAAAGCCAUGGAUGAGCAAAGAACCUGGAUGCCUCCCUCUUAGAUAAACCAGGAGUAAUGGUCUUGUUUAUUCUUCCACUAGUUAAACAGGCAUCAUCAAACAGAACGUGCCAGGAGCCAUGCCAAGUGGAGCAAGGGCUAGCAGCAUCAGCCACCAGCCACGGCCCUCUGUGUGAAAGGGCGAGCAUAAGCUACCUGGGAUGCAGCUACCCUGGCCUGUGCCAGGAGUUUCAGACCAGGGGCUAGGAAGGGAAUGUUGGACUUUUUCCAGAAGAAGCUAAAACUCUCUGGAAGAGAUGACAACAGGACUAGGAAGAUGAGUGAGCUUUGGCCAUGUGGAAAAAGAAAGACUUCUGGUCAAGGUAAAGGGAUACUAUCAUCUGGGGGGCCAAUCAUCUGUGCCAAUCCUGCAUCCAUCUGGAGAUCCCAUAUGCUGAGGCUGGGCAGGAGAGAGCAAAUAAGAAGAAACAAAAGAAGCUAGGAAAGACUCUUUGAACCAACACUCUUGAAAACUAGAGAUCCAGGCUGCUACUCUGACAGCCUCUCAUCCAGCUCGCCAGCAGAGGCCUCAGGAGUUGCUCAACAAAACAAAUAUGUAUCAGGUGCCAA